rnacentral:rRNA from 1 species
UUGGAGGGCAAGUCUGGUGCCAGCAGCCGCGGUAAUUCCAGCUCCAAUAGCGUAUAUUAAAGUUGUUGCAGUCAAAAAGCUCGUAGUUGAAUUUCGGGAUCAGAGUGUCGGUCGUGCCUCGGUACGCACUGGUAUUAUUGGUUCCUACCUUCUGAAGAACCGCGAUGUCAUUAAUUUGGUGUCGUGGGGAAUCAGGACUGUUACUUUGAAAAAAUUAGAGUGUUUAAAGCAGGCUUACGCUUGAAUACAUUAGCAUGGAAUAAUGAAAUAGGACGUUUGAUUCUAUUUUGUUGGUUUCUAGGAUUGACGUAAUGAUUAAUAGGGAUAGUUGGGGGCAUUAGUAUUCAAUUGUCAGAGGUGAAAUUCUUGGAUUUAUUGAAGACUAACUACUGCGAAAGCAUUUGCCAAGGAUGUUUUCAUUAAUCAAGAACGAAAGUUAGGGGAUCGAAGACGAUCAGAUACCGUCGUAGUCUUAACCAUAAACUAUGCCGACUAGGGAUCGGAUGAUGUUAAUUUUUUAAUGACUCAUUCGGCGCCUUACGGGAAACCAAAGUGUUUGGGUUC